CCCAGAUCGUUUACCGUGAAAAAAUUAGAGUGUUCAAAGCAGGCAGAUCCAAUUUUCUGCCACCGAAUACAUUAGCAUGGGAUAAUGGAAUAGGACCCUGUCCUCCUAUUUUCAGUUGGUUUUGGCAGCGCGAGGACUAGGGUAAUGAUUAAUAGGGAUAGUUGGGGGCAUUAAUAUUUAAUUGUCAGAGGUGAAAUUCUUGGAUUUAUGAAAGAUUAACUUCUGCGAAAGCAUCUGCCAAGGAUGUUUUCAUUAAUCAAGAACGAAAGUUAGGGGAUCGAAGACGAUCAGAUACCGUCGUAGUCUUAACCAUAAACGAUGCCGACCAGCGAUUAGGAGACGUUGAAUACAAAACACCACCAUCGGUGCGGUCGUCCUUGGCGUCGGUUUCGGCCGGCGCGGGGGCGGCUUAGCCCGGUGGCACCGGUGAAUGACUCCCCUAGCAGCUUGUGAGA
rnacentral:rRNA from 1 species